AUGCUUUUAGCUGAGAAAGGAGGUGUGUGCACCAUGAUAGGCCCUAUGUGCUGUACUUUCAUUCCCAACAGCACUGCACCAGAUGGCUCAGUAACCAGAGCUUUGGAGGGACUGAAAACUCUGUCCUUAACAAUGGCCGAACACUCUGGGAUAAACAACCCAAUAGAUGAAUGGUUCACUAACUAUUAUGAUAAUGGAAAGUCUUCCCUGCCCAGCAACAGCCCGGGUGGGACAAAGAAAGCCAUUGUAGCUGAAAGAUACAGGAUUCUUAGCCACACUCCAGGAAGUAUCACCAACCGCACUACCUGCCUGCCCUCCUGCCAUCACCACCCCUCGCAGGGGCCUGAAAACUCAGCAGUUACACAACAAUUAAGCUCUAAAGUUGGAGGUAAAGUCACGUUGCCUUGUGUAAAUGGAAAAGAUUUUCACAAUCGAUAUAACAGUACUACUUGGCUCUUUUCCGACUCAGCAAGCAAAACGACAGUAACACUGUUUGAACAUGGGCAGAUAUCAAAAGAAAAUGGAUCCAAAUCAGGCAGACUGAGUGUUACACCGAAGUGUUCUCUGAUCAUAAAGAAGGUCAGAGCUGAGGACGCUGGUGGUUACAGCUGCAGGCAGUUCAUAUCAGGACAGCAAGUUUCAGAGUCUCUGACUUACCUGUUUGUUACUAACGAAGGGGACACAACAAAAGGAAUAAUUACAUCAACAACAACCAAAAAUGCAACAUCAGCAAAUGUCCCUAAAUCUAAAAGCGCUACAUCAACCACAAGAACAACAACUUCAUCAGUGACUAACACAUCUAUGACAAGUAAAACCAAUUCAACCACAGAAUCAGAGAAAACCUCAAACACAGUUCAAACCAAAAACAUGCUGAUCAUUUUAGCGGGUGGUUUUCUAGUAAUCUUCAUAAUCCUGGCACUCAUUGGAUGGAAGAGAAAUAAAAGGAACAAAAGACAGAAGAGUGAUGAAAUUGCUGAUUCUGCUCUCUAUGAUACCAUUGGUAACACAAACGAGACCUCCAAAGCCCCAGCUAAUCCUGCAGCUGAUCUUUCCUAUUCCUCCAUUAAGAAGACCAGGAAUAAAACUCGGGUUCACAGUAAUUACCAUAAAGAUGAUGCACAGACUUUCUCCAUCUUUGACAAAGCCUCCAAUGAUGAUAACAGGAUCUACAUGAACAUGAAAAGCAUACAAAAAGCCAGGGGCAGUUAUUUUUAAUGAUCAGAAUAUGCUUUAUAUUAUUUGAUAUUACUGUGAUGAUCAUUUAGGAACCUACCUACAUCAUCUUUUUUUUUUCAAAAUGAAUCAUAAAGACAAAUUCUAAAAUACAAAACAACAAAGCCCCCCCCCAAAAAACAACAAGUUAUACCUAUAAUUGUAACAUUUUUCCUUUUUCUGACAUCUUAUGUUUAAUAUAAAAAUGAGAUAUUAUCUGUCAGUUUACUUUGCGUGAUCUGAAUUCCAAACUUUGCUAACAGCCAAAACAUUUUACACUUUUAAUUUUUUUUGCUAUAUUUUGAAUAAAUAUUUAGUCAGGGUUUGAAUAACAUAUGAAUUUGGGACUGAAUAAUUUAUAUUGGGAAAACAAUGUUUGAAGAUAUGCAUUGUAAAACUGGAAAAAAAAGAAAAGCCACAUUAUGGGUCAAAAGAUGAACUCGAACUGUGUAUUUCUGUGUUGCAUUUUAUACAAUAAAUAAUAAUAAAUUUUUGAUAUGCUGUGUUUUAGCACAAGGUAUUAUCUUGUUAAUUGUUUAAAUGCAUUUUUAUAAAUGAAGUAGACAAAGUAUUCCUAAAGAUUGAACUACAAGUAUAUUUUGAAUGUUUUCUCUAAGUCUAAAAGAAGACAUAUUACUGAUGCAGCACAACAUUUGCUUUCCCCUGUAGUAUCUCUCCUUGAGAUUGUCACAUUUUCAACAGCAGUACUGAUAAGAAAAAUUGCAAACAUUUUUAUUGGCGCUGCAUGCUUUAAUCUAGAUUGGUGCUGUAUAAAGUGUAGAUUAAGUGCAGUUUUUGCGACUUGCUAAUUGCAUAGUUUCAAAUUGUGAGACUGAUGUGGAAUCUUUUAAUUGUUCAACUCUAUUCAAAAGUAAAUUUGAUUUAAUGUACAUUUUAAGAUAAAUUGUUUUUUGUGGCGGGUUGUGGUUAGCGGUGCCGCGGCAGGGAAGGCGUAUGCACCUGUGUGGCUUCGCAAUCACACCUCGCCAGCUUAAGAACGGUGUAGUGUUCUGUUGUGUUGUUGUUGUGGAUAUGUGUGGCUUUCAUGCCUCAUUUCUGCCACAUUUUUAUUUUAGUUUCAGAAGCAUUUAAAACUUGUCUGUUUGGUGUAUUUUCUCUACAAGAAUGAGUACUGACAAUGACAAAUAAUAAAAGAUCAAUCAAA